rnacentral:rRNA from 1 species
GACGAACGCUGGCGGCGCGCUUAACACAUGCAAGUCGAACGGAAAGGCCUGCUUUCCCUUGUGGAUUGCGGGUACUCGAGUGGCGAACGGGUGAGUAACACGUGAGUGAUCUGCCCCCAACUUGGGUAUAAGCCUGGGAAACUGGGUCUAAUUCCCGAUAGGACUGCAGGGUGGUGCCUGUGGUGGAAGACGAUUUUCUAGUGGUUGGGGAUGAGCUCGCGGCCUAUCAGCUUGUUGGUGGGGUAAUGGCCUACCAAGGCGGCGACGGGUAGCCGGCCUGGGAGGGUGGACGGGCACAUUGGGACUGAGAUACGGCCCAGACUCCUACGGGAGGCAGCAGUGGGGAAUAUUGCACAAUGGGCGGAAGCCUGAUGCAGCGACGCCGCGUGGGGGAUGACGGCCCUCGGGUUGUAAACUCCUUUCGACCGCGAGGAAGCCACCUGGUUGGAAGGGUGGUGACGGUAGUGGUAGAAGAAGCACCGGCUAACUACGUG